UACGUAGGGGGCAAGCGUUGUCCGGAUUUAUUGGGCGUAAAGAGCGUGUAGGCGGCCAUACAGGUCCGUUGUGAAAACUGGAGGCUCAACCUCCAGACGUCGACGGAAACCGUAUGGCUAGAGUCCGGAAGAGGAGAGUGGAAUUCCUGGUGUAGCGGUGAAAUGCGCAGAUAUCAGGAGGAACACCGAUGGCGAAGGCAGCUCGCUGGGACGGUACUGACGCUGAGGCGCGAAAGCGUGGGGAGCGAACAGG
rnacentral:rRNA from 1 species